AUUGAACGCUGGCGGCAGGCCUAACACAUGCAAGUCGAGCGGAUGAAGGGAGCUUGCUCCUGGAUUCAGCGGCGGACGGGUGAGUAAUGCCUAGGAAUCUGCCUGGCAGUGGGGGAUAACGUCCGGAAACGGGCGCUAAUACCGCAUACGUCCUGAGGGAGAAAGUGGGGGAUCUUCGGACCUUACGCUAUCAGAUGAGCCUAGGUCGGAUUAGCUAGUUGGUGGGGUAAAGGCCUACCAAGGCGACGAUCCGUAACUGGUCUGAGAGGAUGAUCAGUCACACUGGAACUGAGACACGGUCCAGACUCCUACGGGAGGCAGCAGUGGGGAAUAUUGGACAAUGGGCGAAAGCCUGAUCCAGCCAUGCCGCGUGUGUGAAGAAGGUCUUCGGAUUGUAAAGCACUUUAAGUUGGGAGGAAGGGCAGUAAGUUAAUACCUUGCUGUUUUGACGUUACCAACAGAAUAAGCACCGGCUAACUUCGUG
rnacentral:rRNA from 1 species